CAUACAAACCAGUUACAACAAAAGCCACUUUAACCAACCAAACAAAGAGUUUAGUGAAUAUGCAGAUUGAGUUUUUUAGGCAUUUUAAUAUCAAACAGACUAAUAAAUUAAUCCAAUAAAUAAUUUCCAAUCAAUUUGACUGUUGAGAAAAAAACAGUUUACACUUUUGAAUAAUGAAUACACAAAAACAAAUUGUGCAAAAACACCAAAACACUUUGGGAAAACAUAUUUUGUAUUUGUGAAUCCAAAGUAGUUUAAACAAUAACAUUUUUCCAUUUAAUAAAUUACAAUUUAAUGUACAACUAGUCACAUGUGCUGCAUCCACUGAAAGCAUAAAUAAUAAAUAAAAAAUUUUAUACAAUCAAAUAAAUUAGUUUCAGUUCUGAGGCUGCCUUUAAUCUCAAACAAAACAUCCUUGAGUGUUAAUUCAUUCAAGGAAAUGAAAUGACAUUAAUACUAAAAUUAUCAGGGAGAUGCUUCCCAAGUGCAUCCUUGACCAUGCAUAUUUUGUUCAGGGUUCCUGCUCAAUUACAGCAGUACUGCUGAAUAAAGUGUUUUUGGGUUUCCAAAGAUCAUUCGUUUCCAAAAAACCCGGAAGAAAUGAGUGAUUGUGAUGUCAUAGCGAACAUUCCGAGUUCCAAAAAUCCAGCUUUGUCUCUCCAUGGCAACGGAACUUUCAAAAACAUCACAAUCACAAUCCUUUCAUAGAACGCUCAUGCUUCAGUUUCGUUCUACCAGGCUUCUGAACUGUCACAGCUGGACCCGGGUGAGGGCGGGUCGGUGUCGCUGGUCCAGGUGCGGUCGAGGCUGAGGCUCACGAGGUGCAGAGAGAGUGAAAGGGAGAGUGAUGGAGAGAGGAAAAUGCCCUGUGGGAGUGUCUGUUCUGGAGCUCAUUCCUGCGAGGGGCUGCCGUCAGACUGCUGGUGUGCUGAGAUAAGCCCUCCGACCCCCAUCGCUCUCCCUCUCUUCCUCUUCCUCUGUCUGUGCAGCGCUUUCCCUCUGCUCUGACUGUCAGCGAUAAGAAGAUCGUCCUGUAAUUGAAUGACUAUCUUUCUAUCACGCUCAUUUCAGAAAAUAGCGAGGGGCUGGAAAUGUGUAUGGUGUGGGAGAUAAAUGAAUGGCCACUGUCACUGUAGUCAACAAUCUGCAUCCAGACUGGUAAUUUGAAAAUGCUUUUUUAACGCCAAUCAAUUCAGCUUCACAUACUGAAUGAUUUAUUCAGUUCCAGACCGGCGUGACCUCCUCUAAAUAAGCGGCGUCGCAUCAGUAACGUGUAGCGGGAAAUGUAAAUUUCUCAAUACAGUGUCACGUUUGAAUAGAACUCUUUCAUCUGCAUUCAGAUGCAUUCUUUACACCUGCUUCCGUGAACAGACUGUAAAGCUAACAGUUGCAUGUGUACAUACACUCACUCUCAACUGUAGGUCAAAGGUCAGUAGAAAAAAAGCCAUUAAUUAAAGCCAGUAAUUCUGGAGUCUUAUAAUUAGUGAAAAAAACAAAACAGCUCUAAAUACUUUUAAACAAUCAAAGCUCAAACCUUCUGUUGCACCCUAAGCAGCACAUUUAAGAAGAUAAGUCUAGUUACAUCUAAUAAUCUCCUGUAACACUAAAACGUUUUGAUUAGUAAAUUUCAAAUACUGUUCCAGCUGUUCAUGAAUUUGAAAAAAAUAAUGACAAAAAAGUUGAAAUUACAAAUUACUACUUUCACAAGUAGAUAUUAGUAGUUGUAAAAUCCAAAUAAUUUUAGAAUUGAGCAUAAUUAGAACAAUACAUAAUCACUGUAUUUACCAUAUAAAACAAUGACUGUGGAGAACCCUGUAAAAAACGACAAAUAAUACAAAUACUGAAUUUAAAUUUAAUACUGCAUUUUAAUAAAAAAAGUUAAUAAAUCAAUUUGUAUUAAUGAAUGAUUUUUUUAAAUAGCAAGUAUUAACCCUAACCUAACCCUAACUCUAACCCUAACCCUAAAUAGCAAGUAUUAAUUCAUAGCUAUAUACUAAAAUAUUUUAAAAAGUUGAGCAUAAUUUAAAAAUACAUGUUCAAUUUUCAAGAUUUCAUUAAUUUUCAUGACAUUUCAAGUCCUGGAAAACUAAAUUUGUAAAUUGUUGCAACUGUGGAUACCCUCUAAAAAAUAAAUAAUAAUAAAAAUAUUAAAUCUAACAAAAUGUAUGUUUAUUUUGUAAUCAAGUCAAUUUGAAAUAUAUUAAAAGAAAGGUUUGAUUUGACCGUUUCUUUUUCUUGUUUUUUUAUUGCAACUGUCAUUCUGAUAUAAAUACUGAUAUAAAUACAUCUAAAGGGUGAUAGUUUAAACAUUAAUAUGUACUAAUUAUUGGAACAAUAUCUACAUUUAUUAUAAACCAUUCAUUAUAUACAUUUACUAUAAAAUAUAUACAUAUAUUUUAACGGACAUAUGACUGAACUG
rnacentral:lncRNA from 1 species